GACGAACGCUGGCGGCGUGCCUAAUACAUGCAAGUAGAACGCACAGUUUAUACCGUAGCUUGCUACACCAUAGACUGUGAGUUGCGAACGGGUGAGUAACGCGUAGGUAACCUGCCUGGUAGCGGGGGAUAACUAUUGGAAACGAUAGCUAAUACCGCAUAAUAUUGAUUAUUGCAUGAUAAUUGAUUGAAAGAUGCUAUUGCAUCACUACCAGAUGGACCUGCGUUGUAUUAGCUAGUAGGUGAGGUAACGGCUCACCUAGGCGACGAUACAUAGCCGACCUGAGAGGGUGAUCGGCCACACUGGGACUGAGACACGCCCCAGACUCCUACGGGAGGCAGCAGUAGGGAAUCUUCGGCAAUGGACGAAAGUCUGACCGAGCAACGCCGCGUGAGUGAAGAAGGUUUUCGGAUCGUAAAGCUCUGUUGUCAGAGAAGAACGGGUGUGAGAGUGGAAAGUUCACACUGUGACGGUAUCUUACCAGAAAGGGACGGCUAACUACGUG
rnacentral:rRNA from 1 species